rnacentral:lncRNA from 1 species
UCAUAUCCAAUCUUUUUUUUAUAAAUCAUAUUGAAAUCCAUUUAAAUCCAUUUAAAAAAAAAAAUCCAAACACAGGAACAGUAUCUACUAUUGCAAAAAAAAACUCAUCGGAAAAUGGAAAUGGUAAUAAAGAAGAUGAACCAUCAACCAACAACCAUGGCUGGUGGUUUGAAAAGAUUAUUUUCUCUCGCUAGAACAUAGUCGGAGGAGGGGCAAAAAAUGGCCUCUUGUUAUACGAAGAAAAACCGGGAGAAACGAAAUCCUGCUGGAAGUGAAUCAUAUCAUGGAUCUUCUUGAAUCCAUGUGCAAAGACGCCGAACCCAAACACGAACCCUAUGAGAAUAACGACGAGGAUAAGGAGGAGACAAUAGCAACAGCACUUGGUGCUUGGACAGCAACACAUCUUCACCUGAAUUCAAGAAAGAAAAACCAACGAUGGGAAAGAACGGUGACGUCUUCUGUAAUUUAAAGAAAGAAAAAGAGAGAGAGGGACGAGUUCAGACAAAUAGAAAAUAAUGAUGACGAUGAUGAUGAAGACAGACAGGCACACCGGUUGUGGUGUCUUAUAAUAACCAUGUUUUUGUUUUCCCGUUGAGACUUCCAAGGGGUAUAUUUGUUAAUAUAUAAUAGUUUGAGGAAUUUUUAUUUCUUAUAAUAUUUAUCGUGUACUUUUUUUACGCCUCAAAUUUACUUUGUUGUUAC